rnacentral:rRNA from 1 species
AGUGGCGGACGGGCGAGUAACGCGUGAAUAACCUGCCCAUAAGAGGGGGAUAAUCCAUGGAAACGUGGACUAAUACCGCAUAUUAUGGAUGGAUUCGCGUCUGAUUAGAUAGUUGGUGAGGUAACGGCUCACCAAGUCGACGAUCAGUAGCCGAACUGAAGGUUGAUCGGCCGCAUUGGGACUGAGACACGGCCCAGACUCCUACGGGAGGCAGCAGUGGGGAAUAUUGCGCAAUGGGGGAAACCCUGACGCAGCAACGCCGCGUGCAGGAAGAAGGUCUUCGGAUUGUAAACUGUUGUCGCAAGGGAAGCGGUACCUUGUGAGAAAGUCACGGCUAACUACGUGCCAGCAGCCGCGGUAAUACGUAGGUGACAAGCGUUGUCCGGAUCUACUGGGUGUAAAGGGCGCGUAGGCGGGAUAGCAAGUCAGUCGUGAAAUACCGAGGCUCAACCUCGGGGCUGCGAUUGAAACUGUUAUUCUUGAGUAUCGGAGAGGAAAGCGGAAUUCCUAGUGUAGCGGUGAAAUGCGUAGAUAUUAUGAGGAACACCAGUGGCGAAGGCGGCUUUCUGGACGACAACUGACGCUGAGGCGCGAAAGUGUGGGGAGCAAACAGGAUUAGAUACCCUGGUAGUCCACACCGUAAACGAUGGAUACUAGGUGUAGGA